GCCCUUUUGGCAUGCUGCUGAGAGGAAGGAAGACAGCUCUUGUGUGGACUCAGAAGACGCAACUGGUGUUGUGAAAUGGGUCCUCUGCAUUUGACACAUCCCCAUGUUCACCUCCUGGGAGGGGAGGGGAGCAGUGAGCAGCAGCGUGCGCCCCGUUCGGGAGCUCCAAGAGUACGCAAUACAAACCCCAGACCAGCGGCAGCGAACAACUGCAAUCAAUCGCCGGCAAUCAGCACACCUGGGAUUGAUGAGGGCGAGGUAAAUAAGGACCAGUGGACCCAAGAAUCCUUGCUGGAACUUAAUCCUGUUACGUUUGCUUCCCGUGUAUUCCAUCUUCGAGCCUCGAAUCUCCUUGGACUUUGGACUGCCUCCCUCGAUCCUUGGCCCCUGUUUGGACAUGGACCUUCUUCGCCCCCGCUAUAGCCCCUGACUUCCUGCCUGCCCACGGCCAUACGAGCCUGCUAAGACCCUUUUGGACUCUUCUAUCGCCCAACAGUCACGGUAACACAACAAUUAAUUCCACACAUAGUCACACAAAACACAUACACUUUUGGAUCUUGUUCACACUCCAUUUCCUUAGUUUAUAUUAUU